CUGCUCAAGAACCAGCUCAAGCCUCUCUCUCUCUCUUGGUUCAGGCGAUGUCGCCUCUGCUCAGCUGACGACCUCCAUCUCCUCUUCAUCGGUCAGCGUUGACGUCAUCUGGUAUCCCUCCCCGAUUUAAUGAAAUCAGGUUGAAAUGGAGGCUCCCCUGCUCUUUGGGAGAUUCUUGGUGAAAAGUGAUAGUGAGUCUUGCGUUGCUUGGCUGAAGUUGAGACUAAGAUAAGGAAGAGUUGUUGCUGCACUAGUAUGGUGGGGGAGUUGGUGGUUGUGGAGUUGGUGGGGAGAAAAGGAUGGUGGGAAGUGUGGUGGAGUGGAUGGUGGAAGAGUAGGUGUAGUGGUGGGAAAAAAUGUAGUGGAGGAUUAAUGAUGUAUAUUCUAUGUCUCGGUGAUUCUGUAACUGUAAUAAAAUACUGGCUUCUGUUCA